rnacentral:rRNA from 1 species
AUUGAACGCUGGCGGCAUGCUUUACACAUGCAAGUCGAACGGCAGCGCGGGGCAACCUGGCGGCGAGUGGCGAACGGGUGAGUAAUACAUCGGAACGUACCCAGAAGUGGGGGAUAACGUAGCGAAAGUUACGCUAAUACCGCAUACGUUCUACGGAAGAAAGUGGGGGACCUUCGGGCCUCAUGCUUUUGGAGCGGCCGAUGUCUGAUUAGCUAGUUGGUAGGGUAAAGGCCUACCAAGGCGACGAUCAGUAGCUGGUCUGAGAGGACGACCAGCCCCACUGGGACUGAGACACGGCCCAGACUCCUACGGGAGGCAGCAGUGGGGAAUUUUGGACAAUGGGCGCAAGCCUGAUCCAGCAAUGCCGCGUGAGUGAAGAAGGCCUUCGGGUUGUAAAGCUCUUUUGUCAGGGAAGAAACGGUCGGGGUUAAUACCUCUGGCUAAUGACGGUACCUGAAGAAUAAGCACCGGCUAACUACGUGCCAGCCGCCGCGGUAAGAC